UACAGAGGGGGCAAGCGUUGUUCGGAAUUACUGGGCGUAAAGGGCGCGUAGGUGGCCUUCUAAGUUGAACGUGAAAUCCCUGGGCUCAACCCAGGAACUGCGUCCAAGACUGGGAGGCUUGAAUCCGGGAGAGGGAUGCGGAAUUCCAGGUGUAGCGGUGAAAUGCGUAGAUAUCUGGAGGAACACCGGUGGCGAAGGCGGCGUCCUGGACCAACACUGACACUGAUGAGCGAAAGCCAGGGGAGCAAACGGG
rnacentral:rRNA from 1 species